UACGAGGGGGGCGAGCGUUGUUCGGAAUUAUUGGGCGUAAAGGGUGCGUAGGCGGUUUGGUAAGUCUCUUGUGAAAUCUAUGGGCUCAACUCAUAGCCUGCAAGGGAAACUGCCGGGCUUGAGUGUGGGAGAGGUGAGUGGAAUUUCCGGUGUAGCGGUGAAAUGCGUAGAUAUCGGAAGGAACACCUGUGGCGAAAGCGGCUCACUGGACCACAACUGACGCUGAUGCACGAAAGCUAGGGGAGCAAACAGG
rnacentral:rRNA from 1 species